rnacentral:tRNA from 1 species
CGGGGUGUAGCUCAGCUUGGUAGAGCACUUCGUUAGGGACGAAGUGGCCACAGGUUCAAAUCCUGCCACUCCGACCA